rnacentral:lncRNA from 1 species
UGGUGCUUCUCAUAAUUUUUGUUGUAGCUUUCCAAGUGCCGUUGUGUUUUAGAGCUUCCGUGCACAACAUCUCUAUCACCAAAUUCACUCACAAAAUCUCUCUGUCCCUAAAGUAGGUUUCCCACUUUUUUUCUUGGUAGGACUCUCUCUGUCUCCUCUCUCACAAACGCCAAGAAGUAUUGCCAUUCAUGUGUAAAAAUCUUUAUACACCUCUUAAAUUCACAUUCUAAAACUACCACUUUCUAUCUCAGGCACUCUGCUAACAUACAGUAAAACGUAACACUCUCUCUCCAAACAAAUACUAAAAGCAAUAAUGUAUAAAAUCCCUUCUCUCUCUAGGUCUUUAGUCAAAUAGUAACGUGAAACUCUCUCUCUCCAACUGUGCAAAAGCUAAGUAGCAUUGAACAAAAAAUCAGGUUGGUUUAACCAAUAACCGCACAGUCAUAACAAGGGGCGGUUUUGGUGACUAGCUGGGUAUUUUUU